rnacentral:rRNA from 1 species
CCUACGGGAAGCAGCAGUGAGGAAUAUUGGUCAAUGGCCGGAAGGCUGAACCAGCCAAGUCGCGUGAGGGACGACUGCCCUAUGGGAUGUAAACUUCUUUUAUAAAGGAAUAAAGUGAGGCACGUGUGCCUUUUUGUAUGUACUUUAUGAAUAAGGAUCGGCUAACUCCGUGCCAGCAGCCGCGGUAAUACGGAGGAUCCGAGCGUUAUCCGGAUUUAUUGGGUUUAAAGGGAGCGUAGAUGGGUUGUUAAGUCAGUUGUGAAAGUUUGCGGCUCAACCGUAAAAUUGCAAUUGAUACUGGCAGU